AGAGGUAGGCGGAAUGUGACAAGUAGCCGGUGAAAUGCAUAGAUAUGUUCACAGAACACCGAUUGCGAAGGCAGCUUACUAUGAUGAGAUUGACGCUGAGGCACGAAAGCGUGGGGAUCAAACAGGAUUAGAUACCCUGGUUGUCCACGCCCUAAACGAUGAAUACUCGCUGUUAGCGAUACACAGUUAGCGGCUAAGCGAAAGCGUUAAGUAUUCCACCUGGGGAGUACGGUCGCAAGAUUGAAACUCAAAGGAAUUGACGGGGGCCCGCACAAGCGGAGGAGCAUGUGGUUUAAUUCGAUGAUACGCGAGGAACCUUACCCGGGCUUGAAAGUUAGUGAAUCAUUUAGAGAUAGAUGAGUGAGCAAUCACACGAAACUAGGUGCUGCAUGGCUGUCGUCAGCUCGUGCCGUGAGGUGUUGGGUUAAGUCCCGCAACGAGCGCAACCCCUAUGUUUAGUUGCCAGCACGUUAAGGUGGGGACUCUAAACAGACUGCCUGUGCAAACAGAGAGGAAGGAGGGGACGACGUCAAGUCAUCAUGGCCCUUACGUCCGGGGCUACACACGUGCUACAAUGGAUGGUACAGAGGGCAGCAAGCUGGCAACAGCAAGCGAAUCUCCAAAAGCCAUUCACAGUUCGGAUAGAGGUCUGCAACUCGACCUCUUGAAGUUGGAUUCGCUAGUAAUCGCAUAUCAGCAAUGAUGCGGUGAAUACGUUCCCGGGCCUUGUACAC
rnacentral:rRNA from 1 species